rnacentral:rRNA from 1 species
GCUUACAGCCAUACCACCCUGAAUGCGCCCGAUCUCGUCUGAUCUCGGAAGCUAAGCAGGGUCAGGGUUUCUUUUGCCAGUCUUAGGAUGUUAUCAGUUGUACUUC